CGAAAGCCUGACGGAGCAAUACCGCGUGAGGGAGGAAAGCUCUUGGGUUGUAAACCUCUUUUCUUAAGGAAGAACACAAUGACGGUACUUAAGGAAUAAGCAUCGGCUAACUCCGUGCCAGCAGCCGCGGUAAUACGGAGGAUGCAAGCGUUAUCCGGAAUGAUUGGGCGUAAAGCGUCCGCAGGUGGUUUUAUAAGUCUGCUGUUAAAGUGUGAGGCUCAACCUCAUAAUGGCGGUGGAAACUAUAAGACUAGAGUACGUUCGGGGCAGAGGGAAUUCCUGGUGUAGCGGUGAAAUGCGUAGAUAUCAGGAAGAACACCCGUGGCGAAAGCGCUCUGCUAGGCCGUAACUGACACUGAGGGACGAAAGCUAGGGGAGCG
rnacentral:rRNA from 1 species